GUCCACGCCGUAAACGAUGGAUACUAGCUGUUGGGAGCAAUUUCAGUGGCUAAGCGAAAGUGAUAAGUAUCCCACCUGGGGAGUACGUUCGCAAGAAUGAAACUCAAAGGAAUUGACGGGGCCCGCACAAGCGGUGGAGCAUGUGGUUUAAUUCGAUGAUACGCGAGGAACCUUACCAAGGCUUAAAUGUAGAUUGACAGGUUUGGAAACAGACUUUUCUUCGGACAAUUUACAAGGUGCUGCAUGGUUGUCGU
rnacentral:rRNA from 1 species